rnacentral:snRNA from 1 species
UUACUUUUUAUUAAUGUUGAU